rnacentral:rRNA from 1 species
AUUGAACGCUGGCGGCAGGCCUAACACAUGCAAGUCGAGCGAGCGGCGGGCGGGUGAGUAAUGCCUCGGAAUCUGCCUGGUAGUGGGGGAUAACGUCCGGAAACGGUAGCUAAUACCGCAUACCAUCGGAUGUGCCCAGAUGGGAUUAGCUAGUAGGUGGGGUAACGGCUCACCUAGGCGACGAUCCCUAGCUGGUCUGAGAGGAUGACCAGCCACACUGUAACUGAGACACGGUCCAGACUCCUACGGGAGGCAGCAGUGGGGAAGAUUGCACAAUGGGCGCAAGCCGGAUGCAGCCAUGCCGCGUGUAUGAAGAAGGCCUUCGGUUUGUAAAGUACUUUCAGCGAGGAGGCGUUACUCGCAGAAGAAGCACCGGCUAACUCCGUGCCAGCAGCCGCGGUAAUAC